UCGGGAAUUUUGGGCAAUGGGCGAAAGCCUGACCCAGCAACGCCGCGUGAGGGAUGAAGUAUUUCGGUAUGUAAACCUCGAAAGAAUGGGAAGAAUAAAUGGCGGUACCAUUUAUAAGCUCCGGCUAACUACGUGCCAGCAGCCGCGGUAAUACGUAGGGAGCAAGCGUUGUUCGGAUUUACUGGGCGUAAAGGGCGCGUAGGCGGCGCGGUAAGUCACUUGUGAAAUCUCUGAGCUUAACUCAGAACGGCCAAGUGAUACUGCUGUGCUAGAGUGCGGAAGAGGCAACCGGAAUUCUUGGUGUAGCGGUGAAAUGCGUAGAUAUCAAGAGGAACACCUGAGGCGAAGGCGGGUUGCUGGGCCGACACUGACGCUGAUGCGCGAAAGCCAGGGGAGCAAAC
rnacentral:rRNA from 1 species